GAAUGUGAGAGUGAUCUGCCUGUGACAUCUAUCAGUGCCACCCCAUUGAUCAUCAAGAUUAAUUUGGCUGAUCUGGCUGGUUAUACAGCUGUACUCUUUUUCAUAGCUUUGUGUACAUUCCUCUUGAAGUUGCACGCUUGAUGGGAGAGGAUGACAAUCCCAGAGCAGAGUCCACUGAUCUUCAGUCAAGGAUUUACCAUAGCUGAAUUCCCCUGUUAGAUUUAUGAAGAUAUCCAGUAGUUUCAUGUAGAUGUUAAACAGAAGACAACUAGAAAAUGUACUGUUCUAAGAACAAAAGCCCAGACCUUUGAUGACCUGUAGAACCAGUCCUCUGUCCCCCUGU
rnacentral:snRNA from 1 species